rnacentral:rRNA from 1 species
UGCCCGGUAGCUAAAUGCGGAAGAGAUAAGUGCUGAAAGCAUCUAAGCACGAAACUUGCCCCGAGAUGAGUUCUCCCUGAGACUUUAAGUCUCCUGAAGGAACGUUGAAGACGACGACGUUGAUAGGCCGGGUGUGUAAGCGCAGCGAUGCGUUGAGCUAACCGGUACUAAUGAACCGUGAGGCUUAACCUUACAACGCCGAAGGUGUUU